UGACUAAUGUAUAGAAUGGAAUGAUGCAUCAAGACUUCCACUUUUCAAGCCCAAACAUUGCGGCAAAAAUGAAAGAGAACUUCAAGGGGCAAUAGAAGCGACAGCAAUCUAAGCCAUCCAAUUCACAGCUACACUGCAUUCACUGGCUGCACAACAGCAUCUCUCUGUGUCUUACACCUAUUGCAUUGUGAUCGAGAUGCAUAAUUAUGAUUGUUGCAAUUUGUACACAUCCAAUCUCCAUUACGCCAUUGCUUUGCUCCUUUUCCAAGGAGUGCAGGUGUUGCUACUUGAAGUGGGAAUUGCAAUGGUGCCUGCCAAUUUGGAGCUGCACCUGAGUUAACACUGGGAUAGGGAGCAUACAAUCCUGGUCUUGGAUCACCAGUGUUCCCUACCAUUUGGUUGAAUCCUGUAUAUGUUUGAUGUCCUCCAUUUGUCUGCAUAUUAUUUCCUGAAUUCAGUCUCUUGUUCUCCCAGUCCUGAGUAAAAUCUUCAGAUGCCAAUCGCUUUGUUCCAAGUGCUGGUGGUAUAGAAGCAUUGCAAUUUUUACACUGUGCACGUGAAGAGUAAUUAUGGAAGCCACAAUUACACAUCCAAUCACCAUUUCGCCAUCCUUUUGGAACUGUAAGAGGUUGAUUUAUGGGGUUUGCAUAUGGAGGUCCAGAAAUCUGGUUUCCACCUAAAGGCCAAGUAGAAGCUGACUGAACUUCGUACUUAUCAGGUCCUCCAGCAGACCAGGUUGAAGCAAAAGGAAGUGGCUGCUGGAGAGCACCAUUGCUAGCAAAUCCAAUAUUCAUCUUUUGUUCCAGUCCUCCUGGGGCCCUGGCAAAAUAAUGUGAAUAAGUUGGGAGAGAAGCUCCAGGCAUUGCAAUUGCUGGCAUUGCUGCUACCUCCUUUGGUUGACCACAUUUUUUGCACUUUUCUCUUGAUGCAUAAUUGUUGUUAGUGCAACCGGUGCAGAUCCAAUCGCCUAUGCGAGGAAGCCAUUUGGAAUCCGCAGGGGUUUUGGUGUCGACGAGAAGACGAGGCUGCUUGCAUCUAUUGCAGAAGGAUCUAAAGGCGUAGUUCCUGUUCUUGCACCCACUGCACUCCCAGUCUCCUUCUCUUCCUUCUCCCAUUCUGGUUGCUUCUCUUCCUUUCCCUUCCUCUUUCUGCGUACCGUCGACAGUGAAAUUUGAUUAAAAGUUCGGUGUUCUUUUGAAUUUUUUUUUUUUUUUCAGGUUG
rnacentral:misc_RNA from 1 species